rnacentral:rRNA from 1 species
GAUGAACGCUGGCGGUAUGCCUAACACAUGCAAGUCGUACGAGAGUUUUUAACUCUAGUGGCGGACGGGUGAGUAACACGUGAGAAUUUGCCUUUAGGAGGGGGACAACAAUUGGAAACGAAUGCUAAUACCCCAUAUGCUUUCGAGUGAAAUGGAUUUUAUCCGCCUAGAGAGAAGCUCGCGGCUGAUUAGCUUGUUGGUAAGGUAAGAGCUUACCAAGGCGACGAUCAGUAUCUGGUUUGAGAGGACGAUCAGACACACUGGAACUGAGACACGGUCCAGACUCCUACGGGAGGCAGCAGUGGGGAAUUUUCCGCAAUGGGCGAAAGCCUGACGGAGCAAUAUCGCGUGAGGGAAGAAUGCCUAUGGGUUGUAAACCUCUUUUUUCAGGGAGGAAUAAAAUGACGUGUACCUGAAGAAUAAGCAUCGGCUAACUCCGUG